GAUGAAGAACGUAGCGAAAUGCGAUAAUUAAUGUGAAUUGCAGAAUUCAGUGAAUCAUCGAGUCUUUGAACGCACAUUGCGCCCCCUGGUAUUCCGGGGGGCAUGCCUGUCCGAGCGUCAUUGCUGCCCUCAAGCCCGGCUUGUGUGUUGGGCCUCGUCCCCCCUCCGGGGGACGGGCCCGAAAGGCAGCGGCGGCACCGUGUCCGGUCCUCGAGCGUAUGGGGCUUUGUCACCCGCUCUGUAGGCCCGGCCGGCGCCUUAGCCGACGACACAAUCUUUUUUUUCAGGUUGACCUCGGAUCAGGUAGGGAUACCCGCUGAACUUAAGCAUAUCAAUAAGCGGAGGA
rnacentral:misc_RNA from 1 species